rnacentral:rRNA from 1 species
UACGGGAGGCAGCAGUGGGGAAUAUUGCACAAUGGGCGCAAGCCUGAUGCAGCCAUGCCGCGUGUAUGAAGAAGGCCUUCGGGUUGUAAAGUACUUUCAGUCGUGAGGAAGGUGUUAAGGUUAAUAACCUUAGCAAUUGACGUUAGCGACAGAAGAAGCACCGGCUAACUCCGUGCCAGCAGCCGCGGUAAUACGGAGGGUGCGAGCGUUAAUCGGAAUUACUGGGCGUAAAGGGCACGCAGGCGGUUAAUUAAGUUGGAUGUGAAAUCCCCGGGCUUAACCUGGGAAUGGCAUUCAAGACUGGUUAGCUAGAGUCUUGUAGAGGGGGUAGAAUUCCAUGUGUAGCGGUGAAAUGCGUAGAGAUGUGGAGGAAUACCGGUGGCGAAGGCGGCCCCCUGGACAAAGACUGACGCUCAUGUGCGAAAGCGUGGGGAGCAAACAGGGAUUAGAUA